rnacentral:rRNA from 1 species
GACGAACGCUGGCGGCGUGCUUAACACAUGCAAGUCGAACGGAAAGGCCCUGCUUUUGUGGGGUGCUCGAGUGGCGAACGGGUGAGUAACACGUGAGUAACCUGCCCUUGACUUUGGGAUAACUUCAGGAAACUGGGGCUAACACCGGAUAGGAGCUCCUGCUGCAUGGUGGGGGUUGGAAAGUUUCGGCGGUUGGGGAUGGACUCGCGGCUUAUCAGCUUGUUGGUGGGGUAGUGGCUUACCAAGGCUUUGACGGGUAGCCGGCCUGAGAGGGUGACCGGCCACAUUGGGACUGAGAUACGGCCCAGACUCAUACGGGAGGCAGCAGUGGGGAAUAUUGCACAAUGGGCGGAAGCCUGAUGCAGCAACGCCGCGUGCGGGAUGACGGCCUUCGGGUUGUAAACCGCUUUCGCCUGUGACGAAGCGUGAGUGACGGUAAUGGGUAAAGAAGCACCGGCUAACUACGUG